rnacentral:rRNA from 1 species
UACGAAGGGUGCAAACGUUGCUCGGAAUUAUUGGGCGUAAAGGGCGCGUAGGCGGCUUGGCAAGUGGAUGGUGAAAUCCCUCGGCUUAACCGAGGAACUGCCAUCCAGACUGCUUUGCUUGAGGCCGGGAGAGGUAAGUGGAAUUCCCAGUGUAGCGGUGAAAUGCGUAGAUAUCAGGAGGAACACCGAUGGCGAAGGCAGGUCUCUGGGCAUUAACUGACGCUGAGGAGCGAAAGCAUGGGGAGCGAACAGG